rnacentral:rRNA from 1 species
GACGAACGCUGGCGGCGUGCUUAACACAUGCAAGUCGAACUGAAAGGCCCUUCGGGGUACUCGAGUGGCGAACGGGUGAGUAACACGUGGGUGAUCUGCCCUGCACUUUGGGAUAAGCCUGGGAAACUGGGUCUAAUACCGAAUAGGACCGCGCGCUUCAUGGUGUGUGGUGGAAAGCUUUUGCGGUGUGGGAUGGGCCCGCGGCCUAUCAGCUUGUUGGUGGGGUAAUGGCCUACCAAGGCGACGACGGGUAGCCGGCCUGAGAGGGUGACCGGCCACACUGGGACUGAGAUACGGCCCAGACUCCUACGGGAGGCAGCAGUGGGGAAUAUUGCACAAUGGGCGCAAGCCUGAUGCAGCGACGCCGCGUGAGGGAUGACGGCCUUCGGGUUGUAAACCUCUUUCACCAGGGACGAAGCGCAAGUGACGGUACCUGGAGAAGAAGCACCGGCCAACUACGUG